GCAUUAUCUUUCUUUGACAUGUUGUUUCACUUAUUUUAGCUGUCCUUAUUUAGUCUACAUGCUAUAAUUAUUCGUGUAUCCAACUUCUAUUAGUGAUUGGACUUGCUUUUUGGUGGUUCUAUUACUUCUUAUGUUUGAUUAACUGUUAGUUUGAAUCACUUUUCUUUUCUAGAUAUUUUUAAUCUAUUGAAUGCAGGCAUAUUGCAUAUAAUUGUAUUUAAAACGGCACUGGAACUUGUUCGACCAAAAGAUGUAGAUUGUGAACUUUUUGAAAUUACUUAUAAGAAAACUGGACAAACCAACGUCUAAACAUAUUUUGGUCUGCUGACAGAGUUAACUGAGUUACAUGAACCCAUGCUUGCAAGGAAUCCCAAAAACAAAGAGAGCCUAGCACGAAGAGAAAUUUGUCGAUGUUAUGAUUCACCC